rnacentral:rRNA from 1 species
UCAGCAGCCGCGGUAAUACGUAGGGGGCAAGCGUUGUCCGGAAUUACUGGGCGUAAAGGGCGUGUAGGCGGCCUUGUAAGUUAGAGGUGAAAGACCGAGGCUCAACCUCGGUAUUGCCUCUAAAACUGUAGGGCUUGAGUGCAGGAGAGGGAAGUGGAAUUCCUAGUGUAGCGGUGAAAUGCGUAGAUAUUAGGAGGAACACUAGUGGCGAAGGCGGCUUCCUGGCCUGUAACUGACGCUAAGGCGCGAAAGCGUGGGGAGCGAACAGGAUUAGAUACCCUGGUAGUCCACGCCGUAAACAGAUGAGUGCUAGGUGUUGGGUAUCGASCCCCUCAGUGCCGGAGUUVVCGCGAUAAGCACUCCGCCUGGGGAGUA